CAGAUUAUAAGGUGGGAGAAAUUUGGUCUGACUAAGGUUGAAUAAGAUCACCCUGCACAGGAUGUAUGCGAGGCACAUUACAAGGUGAAAGAUGCUGCACUUCAUUACUAUGAAUGGAACAAUAAUUUGGAGAUUUCAAGAGUUAUUUUAUAACAUUACUGCUGCUGAUAAGUCGUCAUCACCAGUAUUACCAGCACUAUCUUCUAUUGGGAACAACUGACAUUGUCUUGUAUGUUCAAACGGAGCUUCCUGGUAAUACGUCAGGAUAUAAAAGCAGUCUUCAGAAAAGGGCCAGCAGGUCUGCUGUGCAAGAAUGUUUAUUGAAUUCAUAGAUGUAGUUGCAAAAAAUAAAUUGGUCCAAACAGGGCCACCUAAGUCUCAUUAUCAGACCAAACAAGCAUCCAUUGAAUAAAUUAAAGAAAAUAAAAAUCCAUAUUAUCCUGUUAUGAGAUGAACUUUGUGCAUAAUUAAUGAACAUUUCCAUUUUGGCACUGUAAAAAGAUAGAGAAAAAGCUCAGUUUUCUGAUGAAAACUGGAAAUAUCUGCAUACAAUAUAGAUUUAUUGGAGUUUCUCAUGUUACAUCAAUCAUCGCAAAAAUUAUACAUCCUUGUGUUUUUCUGUAUCCAAAAAAGCAAUAUUGAAGUAGCCUACAGGGUACAUGGUGCAUGCAUAUUGGUUAUUUA